CUACAUAUCACUGAGCAGUCAGAAGUGUUUGAGGCUCCUGCAUUGUGCUAUAGAAACAUGCCUGCUGUCAUCACCACCGCUGUUGGUCAAAUGGCAGUUGCUAAGGGAAGACAAGGGAGGGAAGCACAGAACUUGGUUAAGGUGUACCUGGCAAACAUUCGCCUUGAGGAAGUUGAGACGGAUGU